CGCAGCCGCGGUAAUUCCAGCUCCAAUAGCGUAUAUUAAAGUUGUUGCAGUUAAAAAGCUCGUAGUUGAAUUUCGGGAUCAUCAGGUCGGUCGUGCCUCCGGUAUGUACUGGUCUCGGUGGUUCCUCCUUCUUGUAGAACCGUAAUGCCAUUAAUUUGGUGUUGUGGGAAAACAGGACUGUUACUUUGAAAAAAUUAGGGUGUUUAAAGCAGGCGAUCGCUUGAAUACAUUAGCAUGGAAUAAUGAAAUAGGACGUUCGAUCCUAUUUUGUUGGUUUCUAGGAUUGACGUAAUGAUUAAUAGGGAUAGUUGGGGGCAUUAGUAUUCAAUUGUCAGAGGUGAAAUUCUUGGAUUUAUUGAAGACUAACUACUGCGAAAGCAUUUGCCAAGGAUGUUUUCAUUAAUCAAGAACGAAAGUUAGGGGAUCGAAGACGAUCAGAUACCGUCGUAGUCUUAACCAUAAACUAUGCCGACUAGGGAUCGGAUGAUGUUAAUUUUUUAAUGACUCAUUUCGGCGCCUU
rnacentral:rRNA from 1 species